AAGUUUUAAAUGGCCGCAGUAUUUUGACUGUGCAAAGGUAGCAUAAUCAUUAGUUUCUUAAUUAGAAGCUUGUAUGAAAGGUUGGAUGAGAAAGUUACUGUCUCUAUUUAAAUUUAUUAGAAUUUUAUAUUUAAGUAAAAAAGCUUAAAUAUAUAUAGAAGACGAGAAGACCCUAUAGAGUUUUAUAUUAUUGUUAUUUAUAUUUUUUAGUAUUAUAAUUAUAUAAUUAAUUAUAUAUUUGAUUGGGGUGAUUUAAAAAUUUAUUAAACUUUUUUUGUAUUAUUUCAUUAAUUUAUGAAUAAUUGAUCCUUAAUUUAAAAGAUUAAAAGAAUAAAUUACCUUAGGGAUAACAGCGUAAUUUUUUUUAAGAGUUCUAAUCAAAAAAAAAGUUUGC
rnacentral:rRNA from 1 species